GAUGAACGCUGGCGGCGUGCCUAAUACAUGCAAGUCGAGCGAUGCUGCCACUCUUGUGUAACACUUGUAUAACCUCCUAUAUGACUGUGAUUACUUCGGGAAACCUGCGCUAAUCCCGCUCCUUAUACCUGGAUCCCCGCUGCAUUAGCUAGUUGGUAAGGUAACGGCUUACCAAGGCAACGAUGCAUAUCCGAACUGAGAGGGGGAUCGGCCACACUGGAACUGAGACACGGUCCAGACUCCUAGGGGAGGCAGCAGUAGGGAAUCUUCCGCAAUGGGCGAAAGCCUGACGGAGCAACGCCGCGUGAGUGAUGAAGGUCUUCGGAUCGUAAAACUCUGUUAUUAGGGAAGCGGUAACUAAAGAGAAAGCCACGGCUAACUACGUGCCAGCAGCCGCGGUAAUAG
rnacentral:rRNA from 1 species